rnacentral:rRNA from 1 species
AGUGAACGCUGGCGGCAGGCCUAAUACAUGCAAGUCGAACGGCAGCACAGCAGAGCUUGCUCUGUGGGUGGCGAGUGGCGGACGGGUGAGGAAUACAUGGGAAUCUGCCCAGUCGUGGGGGAUAACGUAUGGAAACGUACGCUAAUACCGCAUGCGCCCUACGGGGGAAAGCCGGGGACCGAAAGGCCUGGCGCGAUUGGAUGAGCCCAUGUUCGAUUAGCUAGUUGGCGGGGUAAAGGCCCACCAAGGCGACGAUCGAUAGCUGGUCUGAGAGGAUGAUCAGCCACACUGGAACUGAGACACGGUCCAGACUCCUACGGGAGGCAGCAGUAGGGAAUAUUGGACAAUGGGGGCAACCCUGAUCCAGCCAUGCCGCGUGAGUGAAGAAGGCCCUCGGGUUGUAAAGCUCUUUUGUCCGGAAAGAAAGCAUUCGGUUAAUACCCGGGUGUUCUGACGGUACCGGAAGAAUAAGCACCGGCUAACUUCGUGCCAGCAG